rnacentral:rRNA from 1 species
GAUGAACGCUGGCGGCGUGCCUAAUACAUGCAAGUCGAGCGAACAGACGAGGAGCUUGCUCCUCUGACGUUAGCGGCGGACGGGUGAGUAACACGUGGAUAACCUACCUAUAAGACUGGGAUAACUUCGGGAAACCGGAGCUAAUACCGGAUAAUAUAUUGAACCGCAUGGUUCAAUAGUGAAAGACGGUUUUGCUGUCACUUAUAGAUGGAUCCGCGCCGCAUUAGCUAGUUGGUAAGGUAACGGCUUACCAAGGCAACGAUGCGUAGCCGACCUGAGAGGGUGAUCGGCCACACUGGAACUGAGACACGGUCCAGACUCCUACGGGAGGCAGCAGUAGGGAAUCUUCCGCAAUGGGCGAAAGCUUGACGGAGCAACGCCGCGUGAGUGAUGAAGGUCUUCGGAUCGUAAAACUCUGUUAUUAGGGAAGAACAAAUGUGUAAGUAACUAUGCACGUCUUGACGGUACCGAAGCAGAAAGCCACGGCUAACUACGU